UGGGCUGCAUGGUCCAUUUCAAUUAGCUCUGCAACUGCGUGCAGGCCCCCCAAUUGGCACAUUGCGUGUCUAUGCGCUUCGUCAAACGAUAAUUUCAUAAGAGCAGCUAUUGUUGGACCUGGAUGUCUGUCAAAAUCAUCUGUAAUAACACAAAAAACCCUUCAAGGGUUGUUCUAAGUGUCUGGCAAUAAUCCCUGAGCUGUUCCAGAAGUCUAAGAACCCUAGCUUCUCGUCGCCCUGCUCUCUCCUCACUACGAGAAUGGACAAUAUUAUGAAUAGCCUGUGAAGCUCUUUCUCUCGUUUCCGGAUCUUGGCCUGGGGCAUGAAUGAGCUGGACUAAAAGUGCUAUUUCUAAGAACUAAUAGCGACUGACCAGACUGUCUCAUGGCCAAACAGCUGUCUGUAGAGCUACUCAUGGACAAGAGAGUUGCGCUCAUAUCUUCACGACCUUCAGCUCCUCCUAGCAUUCCCAACAGACUAUAAACAACGUCAACUUUAGCCCCAAGUCUUCUCUGUCCCUGCAUUCCUUGCACACCACCAGGACCUCCACCUCCCAUGCUCACACCAGAAGAGAAACUCAUCACACUUGCUAUAUCCUGUUUGAAAAAAAAAAUAAAAUGGUCAUAAUCAGCUUAAAGAAUUGGGAGCCCUUUGCAGAGUGGGCUAAGGGUUAUUUGACUACUUGAGUACAUCAGUCAGAUAAUACUCACAUUGUGAGUAGUGCUGGAGGUACUCUGCUGAUUAGUAAAGCUGAUCUGUUGGCUGUUCCAUAUACCGCGUUCGACGGGCCAAGUUCCAUGAUAGAGGGAUGAUAAUCUAUGAGUUCGUGAACAAGAACUUGGCCCACUGUCAUCUUCACUGCUCCCAUCUUCGUGGUACGUUUUGCUGUGUGGACCAAGUAGCUGGAAACAAAAAAAAAGGCAAAUGUAAGGCCAGCAAGUUCCAAAGCAAAUUAUACUAAUAUUUAUCUCUACAGUAAAUUGUAUAACGCAAUUACUCUUAUUGUUAGGUAACAAACUGCAGAACACUAGAUGUUGGAAAUGUUUGACGGCAUGUCUCAUAUUACAUAACACACUUUUAACAUACAUGAAUGCACGUGUGUCAAUUGUCACCUGAUAUUAUUGAAUUUUGUAACAUUCAUCUCAAAAAUCACAUCUAUAUACCUAUAUAUACAUGUAAGAUGAUACGUUCUGUUAUAUCCUACAUAUGUGCACGCGUACGUUAAAAAGGAAUAACAAAAUGUCCCUGUCUCGACAUCCGCGUUAAAAAUCUAAGAUCCUACAGAGAUAAAGAUAAUAAUUCGACAAGCACACGAUGAACGUUCCUAAUUAUUGCUAUAACGAAUCUCAAAUCAAGAGCGGACUCAUCAGACAAGAAUGAAGGGUAGCAAUAUUCAUCAAUCAUCACGCAUAAAUAUUGAAUAAAUCUUAGUUGAUCCUGCAAUCAUAAGUCUGCCAAAAUAGAUACUAUAAUGAUCUACUUUGUUGGGAUAGCGAGGCGAAUUAUUGUUAGUAUCAUAUCCGGGAUUUAGUGAUGCCUACUAUUGUUGUUUCGAUAGAAAGAUCACGUGGUGAUCCUCUUUUCCAGAUAUUGCAGCAUUUAUUUUUAUACAUGUAGCUGCCUUCCCAUCUCGCGGUAUGUUUUGCUGUAUUAUAAAGUCACCGCCCCUGUAGUAGGCCGCUGAUGAGGUCGGGUGGAAAAAUAAAAAUAAACACCGAACAUGGGGAAGAAAAUAAGAUAUGCUACAUAUUCAUACAAGGUAGACAACUUAUUAAUUUGGAUUGUAGCAAGCAAAAACAAAGUUACAAUGAAAGGAAACCGAAACCAAAUAUGGAAAGGUCGUGCAGCAUUAAUGUGAUUUAAAAAGCAGGGGCAAAGGCAUACACAACCGACCAGCGCAAAAUCAAUACCGCGACGUUGGGGGACUCUACUCAUUGUCAGCAGCAGCAGCAGCAGCAGAAACGUUGGGUGCUUCAGCUCACGAUCAGCUACGCAGUGUGAAAACGUGCAAUAAUUUUCAGCUACUCGCACAACUCGCAAUCAGACAUCAGUCUCUCAGCAUCUUGUAGAAAUGUUCUUCCAACAUUCGCUCGUACCACCAAAAGAUGACAGGGCUUGCUGGCUAUGACGUUCAUUCUGUAUUAAUAUAUUCUGUUAAUAAUCCUC